rnacentral:rRNA from 1 species
UACGUAGGGUGCAAGCGUUGUCCGGAAUUAUUGGGCGUAAAGAGCUUGUAGGCGGUUUGUCGCGUCUGCUGUGAAAUUUCGGGGCUCAACCCCGAACUUGCAGUGGGUACGGGCAGACUAGAGUGUGGUAGGGGAGACUGGAAUUCCUGGUGUAGCGGUGAAAUGCGCAGAUAUCAGGAGGAACACCGAUGGCGAAGGCAG